UUUCUCGCCUUCCCUUUCUCACAGGUGCCUUUUUCUCGUUUUCAAAUCUCUACAUUUCCAGUUCAAACAUUAUUCCACAGUUGCCUUGUGCUCUCGUCUUCUAUCUAUGCCCGGCACAACCUAUUCCAAGUGGGUUUUGGAGUUGCAGAAACUUAAAGUUGAUACCCAGUCUCCCGAUUGCAUGGCACAAGAGAUUGACAAAAGCACUGAAGAGCAUCAGAGCUUUUUCCAUUCCAUAUUCGAAUUUUAGUCAUGUUCCAUUAUGUAAAGAUGUAAGAAAGUUAUUUGAGUAAGAGAAACACACUCAAGCUCAA